rnacentral:lncRNA from 1 species
CACUGCUUCCCGCAUCCCACCUCAGGGUUGCCUCCUGGUACCUUCCCGUGUAGGAAAAUGAUUUUGUCCCGCGCAGACUCCCUCAGCACCUUCUGCAGUCUGAAGCCGGAGAACGGUAAGCGGACAGGAGCACAGGAAUACAGUCAUCUGCCAGAAGAAAAAUGGUGAUUCUUCCCAGUCCAAAGGUGAAGAUGGUGACUGUGAAAGUAUCAGCUUUAGCCAGACCACUGAUGAAGCUCCCAGAUGUCACAGCAUCCAUGGGCUUGUGAUCUCAGGUGAAGGCAUUGAACCCUGAGCCCUGGAUUCCCAUCUCUUCACUUGCUCCCUCCACCACCCCACCCCCAUAUUCAGAAUGGCCUCUAGGCUUCUAGGUUUGUGUCUUUAAUGGCACCUAGGCAAUAAAUAAAAAAUACAGUGCAGUGCUGACUGCAUCUUCCCUACA